AAAGACACAAACAAGCGUUUAUGCCCUGGUUUUCAACAGCUGCUGGUGGCCCACUAUGUGAUAAUCCAGCUUUCAGCGAAUAUUCUUCAGCUCCAAGAAAUAAAUACAUUUAACAGGGCAACCUCAGGUCUAUUACAAGAUCCGUCAUCAGCCGGAGAUGGGAGGAAGAGUUCCAAUUUAUAUACCGAAUCUGGUACCCUGGACCUUUAAUGGAUAUGAUUCCUCAGUACCUGGUUGGAUGUACCAUUGUUCUGGAGCUGCUGAAAAAAGAGGAGGGGAGCAGGAGGCAGGAACCACAUUGUGAGCGAACUUGGCAAAGGGCGAGUUCAGAGGCGACUUUCCCGUCCGGCACCGCAUUUGAGGUCUGCAUUCUCCAGCCUCAUCGGAGCUUCCAUGGUCCCAACAGAAAUAUGCCUGUGCCCUGAUGGAACCACAAAUGGAGCCAAUGUGGCCUUUUCGUUUUUUUUUUCUGCUUACCUGAUUGGAAAGUGACAUUUGAUAUUACUUUUCCAUUAGGUUAAUUACAACUCUAAUAAGAUUUUAUUGUGCCCUUGAUGACAUCACUUUGGAAACAUCACUCAAUUGGGCGGCCCGUUUUCCUCUGAAUGACUGUACAAAAUAAACAAGCAAGCCUUCUUUUUAUAGCUAUAGAC
rnacentral:lncRNA from 1 species